AAUGAAACAAUGAAUAAGUAGACAUUUUGCUCUCGUUUUGUUAUUUUUUACUUUAUUUUCCAAAUAUGUUUAGGUUAAAGAAAAGAACAUGGGAUUUAGAGUCAAAUAGGCAGGUGUUUUGAUUCUACCCUUGCUAACCCUGUGACCUUUGAAGGCUAAACCCCAAGUGAAGCGACCAGCGAUAAAUACUCAGGUGACUCUAAUGGAAGCCAAAGCAAUGCCAUAUGACAAAGGCAUUGGAUGUUCAUUCGUUUUCCAAGAAAGGGGUAAAAGGUUGAACAAAGAGGUGAAGAAAGAAACCAUGUAAAUAUUCGG